AAGUUUAGGCAGGGAUCCCCCGGGUGAAGGGUGUAGUGGCGGAGCUGCCAGCUGAUGCUCCCAGACCUCCCUCUUCCUCGCUCCUCUUCUCUAAUGGCGGUUAAUAGGAGCAUUUAAGCAGAUUGCAAGAUAAGAAAGGCACUCGCAGCCUUUUAACAAAAUUGAAAAUGCUUUCUGCAAAAUGGCUGUAUGGCGACGUAUAAGAAACAGUGCCUCUGUGCUGAUUGUCAUUGUGGUUGUGCUCUAUAUUGGGUACUGCACCGAGGAGCUAUACACAAGAGUACAGAAUAAUCGCAAACUUCAAAGGCUUGCGGAAUACGAAAAAGAGAUUGAUGAGCUGACAGAAAUGUUGGGGGAAUACAAAAAACAUGCCAACAGUGUUCAAAGGAGCAUCAAACUGUUGCAGGAAAUUUUUGGUCAAAUAAAGCUGAGCCAGAAACCAAAGAUUGUUAGUGACAGAUGAUACCAGCUAAAAUGUUAAGAUAUGUCACACUUAAUCAAGGUGAGUGCCAACUCAUAUAAAUAAGAAACCCAACAAAACUGACACAAUCUUCCAUCAUCAAGUAUGUUGUAGUGCUGCUGGAGGCCAAUUUGAGCAUCACUGGUCAAUCAAAUAUUUAUGAAGAAUUGAUUGCAAUUAAUAGUUACCAGAGCUGUUUAAAUUGGCCUCCAUUAGUAACAAUAUAGUCUUGUCUUCUGGAAAAAAGUGGUUGCAUAUGUUUUGGAGCCAUCCUUCAUUCAUUAUUAUUCUUAAAAUGAACCGUUUAUAAAUACUGUACUUUGAAUAUAAUUAAACAAAGUUACUACUCAGACCAACUGUGCAGGGAUUUCAAUAGAUGUCUAUGGUUUUCAACUUGGAAAAGUCACGACUAUCUCUUUUUUUUUAUGCUUUAAAAAUUCAGUCUGCUUAAUUUUACUUGUAAAUUUUGUCGUCACACAUCAUACAACAGUUAUUAGUAUUAUUGUGUACUUAGCUGAUUGGAUGGAGCAUAGUACUGGUAAUGGUUCCCCAUGAUACUCUGUAGCAUCUUGGCAAACGUAUCCGUGGCAUUUUCUCCGGGGCUCUGUGGGGAGCCCGGAGCUUCAGGUAGCCUCCAGGGGCUCACCCAGAAACUGGCAUUUCAUUACAUUCAAUGCUGGAUUUUAUGCCUUUUUUCUUCUUCAGUGCUCUUGUAUUCUUGGGACUGAUUCCUACUCACCCCAUGAAAAUGUGAAGCAUUAAUAAUGUUGCUGAUGAUGAUUAUGGUGUACUGGUGAGUGUACUGUUUUUAUUUGCUACAAGGAUCUAAACCCCUAAUCAUCUACUUAACCACUAGUCAGUUUGUGCUAUGACAAACAUGAAAUAUGCCCGAUCCAAGUAAGGGUUCAGAAUUUUUCAAAGUUUUAUUUAAAUCUUAUUAAUAUUACACUUGAAAAUGGGUAAUUAGAUAUCUCUUAAAAUAUAUAAAUACAUAUAAACACUGUAUGGUGUAAUUUGUUAAGUUUUAGAUAAUUAACUGGUGUACAGAGGAACCUCAGUACUGUACUCGAAUGGCUCCUAACUUGAACAAUUCGGUACUCAAAUGCCGUGUUCAUGCUUAGUAGUUGACCUUUGCUCAGCACUCAAUUGUAAACAUGCGCAAUGAACGAGUCAGUUUCCCAGUAGCUGUUAUUCAAUGCAUAUUCCACUAAACUUCUCUGUAAACUUUCUGGUGUUUUUCUUGGAUAUUUUUGCACUCUAUUCUUAGUAUAAAUAAGUCACCGUGGUGCCUAAAGAAGUUGCUGAUGUGAGCCAAAAGAAAAGAAAAUUAUUUUUGAAGCACGAUGAAAAAAGAGAAAUCUGUGCAAAAUAUGAAAAUGGUGCCCGUGUGUCUGCUCUUGCUACAAAUAUCAUUGGACAUGUUUGUUGUAAAAAUAGCAUUCAUUGAGUCUCAAGAGGUAAAUAGAAAAAGACAGACAAGAGAGAGAGAGAACCCCAGAAGCACCUUAACCUGAAUAAAAAAAAAACUUAGUUUUUAUGGUAGGGAAUUUUCCUGCUAAACAAUAACAUCUCUGCUCCUCUUCCUCACCACCUUCCACAUAUACUUGCCCAACCACUUGGGCUGGACGACAGAGCAACGGUCUUGCUUCAUGCAAGACUGCGGUCAAUCCCCGACUGUCCAGGUUGUUGGGCACCAUUCCUUACACCACAACAUCUCCCCACCCCCUGUCCCAUCCCAUACCCUUAUCCUGAUUCCCUUGCAAGUGCUAUGUAGUCGUAAUGGCUUGACGCUUUCUCCUAAUAGUUCUCUUCCUCUUCCCUUCCACAUAUGCCAUCAACUCUCCUAAGUACAGGUAAAGUGAGAAUAUAUUUGCAUUUAUCUAAUUUUAUUCAUAUGCAUAUUUUUUCUGGUCUGGAAUGGAUUAAUCCAUUUUACAUUAUUCCUUAUAGGAAAAAAUUAUUCUGUACUCAAAUUAGCAUUCAAAUGGCCUCCUGGAACCAAUUAAAUUUGAGUACUGAAGUUCCACUGUAUAUACAGUAUAUAGUGUUGGUGUAUUUUCAGGUAACCAAGAAACCCUAUUUUCUCCAUACUGCACUGAUAUUUACGAUACAAUAUGUACUUGUAUUUUUAUUUUUUCACAUGAAAAUAUUGCUGCUUCAUUUACAAUAAACAAAAAGUUUAAUAUAAAAAUCUUUGGUUUGUAUUUUGUAAAUUUUCUUUUGAUUUUAAGGCUAUUGAUAAAUAUUUUAUUUUAGUUUAACUUUGCAUUCAUCAAGACUUUAUUGCAGAAAACAUUAUAUUUACAGGAUGAUUUAUUUAUUAACAAAUGGUGUCACAAAAGUAUGUAACUAUGUAUUAAGCAAGUUUUCUUAAAGAAAGGUACAUAAGGUUUAUUCAAGUUGUUGGGUGUUUAUGACAUUUCAUCAAGAUAAAGCUAAUAAUUUGGAAGAUUGUGAUUAUGUUAAAAGGAAAUGUAACAAUAAUACAGUAGGUCAAGAAAAUGUAAUUUAUUUCUUGUAUGAAUCUCUGUAAGUGCAUUUGCCGAGGCAGCAAUACAUAUUCGGUACUAUAUGUACAAUAUGUAUGUACUCUAUCAUACAAUCAUAAUACAGUACUUAGGGAAAUUACCAAUUUAAACUUGCAUUAGCACAUUCCUAAAUUUCAAAAUAUAGUAUUACAAGCAAGAAUUUCACAAGUAAGAAUGUUACACGAAAAGGCCGUGUACUUAUGUUUUUGAUGUACAGGUUCAGAUUAACUGUUGUGUGUAAUUGUAAAUUAUAAGUUUCCACUGUUAAAAAGAUCUGUUGAAGAACCUGCUUAGGUAUUCAUUAUGUAGAAUGAUCUGUGGUAUGUUUAUAUACAAUUUUAUAUGUGAAACAUGUAUGACAGUUACAUAAAUGAUAAUGGCAUAGUUAAUCAUACUGUAUAUGCCUGUACUCCGAUACUUCAAAAACAUGAAAUCGACUUGAUAAUGGUCCAGGACGAACCGAAAUGUCGUUGUCUCUGCAUAUUUUCAUAUGCAAACUCAUCGUCUGCAUAUGAAAAUAUGGUAAGAAAAUAUUGUGGUAAUUGGAUGGGAGUAGACACUUGUCUAUCUGGAUGCCCCAGAAACACACUGCCCACUGUACCAUGAUGAGCUUAACAGCAUCUUGACCAGUUUUCCUGAACUGAUUUGGAAGUUGACUAGCUGGUACCUCAAGUUCAGAAGAACUUCUGAUUGAGAUGCUUUUAAGCUCAUCACAAUUCAGUGUGUAGUGCUUCUUUCUGGGGAAUACAACACAUGAGCUCAGUCCCACCUGUUGCCACACUAUUUUCUCAUGGAUAAUUCACAUUACAGUACAGUGAUUUCAUUCUGUAAGAAUUUAUUGUGUUCUUUGUUGGAAAAGUAUUUAAAAUUUUGAACAGGUGCCAAUAAUGAAAGGUUUUUAUUAAUAAUACUGUAGUAUUGAAGAGACAAAAUUAUUUUGAUGUACAGUGGCACCUCGAUUCAACAAACCUCUUUUUGGCGAAUCUCCAGUUUCAAUGUACACUUUCCAGGCUGGAUUUUCUUGCCAGAUUUGACGAAUAAAAUUUUGCUGAAGCGGGGGAUGUGCGGUUUGCUUACUAAAGAUGUUGAGCCAGAGUUCAUACAGGUGGGAAUAUUGUCCUUCAUAUAAGAAGUUGAAAUUAAAAUCAUGUUUAAUUAAAUUAGCCCAUAGACCAUGGGAAAUAAUAGAAUAUGAAUGGUAGCUUUCUUAACCAUUAACCUCUGCACUGCACACCUGUUUUUGGCAUAAAUUUCAAGGUGCAGUUCUUAAGGACAUAUUUUGUUUGUUUUUAUAAAUGUUCAGAUAAUGUUAAUGUUUCCAGACUCAACCAUUUCAAAUCAAGAGUGAUGAAACAUUAAAAUAUGGCCUAAUUAAUAACAAAAAUCCCACAACCCUCGGUUAAGCACUUAAGUGGUUAAACACGGUUAUUGUCAUAUAUUGAUUCACAGGGUAAUGCAGUUAUCAUUGUAUGGCGAUUUAAACCAUUAUUGUCUGGGUUUUACACGUAUGAUGCAAAUAAGGAUAUAAUAGUUCUCUGUCGAUGUAAGGAAGUUUACCAUGACCCAUGGAAAAAAAUCCUGCUAGUGUUUCAUAGUUACAUUACUGUGAGAAUUCACAGUAAUACACCAUAAGGGUAAGGGAAGUAAUACACCUCCAACAUAUGGAGGUGGUGGAGGCCAAGACCGUCAGUAGUUUCAAAGCGUUAUAUGACAAAGAGUGCUGGGAAGACGGGACACCACGAGCGUAGCUCUCAUCCUGUAACUACACUUAGGUAAUUACAGAGUAUAUUAGAAAUUUUGCAUUUUUCUGCUGUUUGUUUGAUUCACAUGUCCCUUAGUAAAAUCCUUGGUGAAUCUGAUUCCUUUAGCAUCACUCAUCUCUAUAUCAUAUUGCUCUCAUAUUGGCAUCGUGAAUGGUUCCUAUAGCCUUUGGAAUACUCUAUUAUGUGACAGAGUGCUUACUUUGGGCUUGAUGCUUUAUGAUAAUUACUGUAUUUAUUUUUGUUACUUGGCCAUGGUGCUAUAGGUUGCAGGAGCACAAUAGACUUUUGCUGUAUUCAUAGAGAGCCCAGCCAUCUUAAGUCUGCUUGCACAACUCGACCAGCUUGAUGCAUUAAUUUUGGUACUUUCCACCCUACUUUCUCUGGGUCCUAUGUUUGAUAUAAAAUAGAACAGUCCAUACAGUACUGUGUCUUGGACACAAAGAUAACAUUACCUUUUCAGGCGAGACAUUAACUACAUCAACUGGCAUUCUUCAUUGAUGUCCAUAAAUAAUCGCACUGCUCAUCAAGCCACCAUAACUCGCAAAUGAUCGACUCAUCACCCAUUUUGUUUUCACACUCGUCCACCUUAGUUUAGUUAUCUGCACCACCUGUUCUCAUUAUGCUAUCCAUGGGAAUAAUACUCUAAAACUCGCUUGCAUAAGUGAAACGACUGACUUGUGAGGGUUAUCCAAGGGGUUAGGUGAACUGUGGUCACAAAUCUUCUGGGGAAGAAAAAUUGAGACAGUAUGGUGCCCCAAUAUUACAAAUAUUGGUGGGGUGGGGCCCCUGUUUUCAUGAUUUUAAUGACAAAACUAUCAACCCAAUUCACUAUCUUUCGGAUUUCAAACAUUAAUGUGCACCAUCUACUUGGAAAUUUAGAGCAAAAUUUAAAUACAAUAUAACAAAUUGCAAUACAGUAUACCCUGUUUCCAAUAAUAUAACAAUGUUGUAGAAAUGUAACAUAAUAUUCUUAAACCCACCCUUUAUAUUUUGUAUAAUUAUAGGAUUUGUUUAUAUUACAGUACUCUGUACUAAAAAUGAAUUAUCUCACAUUAGAUAUCAAAUGUAUGAUUAUUAUGAAUGUAAUAAUGCUUAUAAACAAAUGCUUUACUAAUACAGUACAGUAUAUUAAAGUAUUUUAAAGUACCAUACAGGGGCUUCUGAUGGUUAUCCCCUAAUUAUCUGAAUCUCCCGACAUGAUAAAUAUAAUUCGAUGCAUUUCUGGCUGCUCAUACUGUUCCUUAUUAGAGUGGGAAGAAUCUUGCCAAUCCAGGAUUGCAGUGGAUGUAAAUGUAAACAAGUUUAUUUUUAUGAAAAUUUUAUUUUUCCAUGUUUUUUAUAUAUUUGUAGUAAGUAUACACCUUAAUAAUGAUGCCACAGUAACUUUUGGGGUAUUUGCAUUUUCAAGUUUAUUUCAUGAUUUCUAUUUUGGAGAUUAUCUCAUAAUACUUGACUGUACAAUACUACACUGUGAGAUGUGCUGGCAUAGGCAACCAGGGAUGCAUUCCUUGAUUACCAUAAUUCAAUCAAAAUGUAUACAUUAUACUGUAUAGUAGUCAUAGCUUCUUUGUAGUCCCACCCAGUGGGUCGUUCUCCCAUUGUAUAUCAACUUUUCAAGGAGCCAAUGGAAUUUUGUUUGUAAAUGUUUUGUCAUUUUACAUAAAAUACUGUGGAAGUGCGGUGUAUUUACUAACAUAUUUGUGGCUGUGUGUUACUAGUGAUGAGGGCCAUAAAUCUUACAGUUGCCUGUAUGCAUGCCUUCCAAACUUAAUUAUGAAGAAUCAGUGUCUUAUGGUUUUAAAAAUCCAUCCAUUACUGGUAUAUUAAUAAAUUUAUCAGAUAGUGAUGAAUGACAAUGUUAAUCAGAAGAUAUUUUAUUAUCAAUGGAAUGUUAACUUUGUAAAAAAAAAUGCCUGUUCUUUUAUUUUUAAAGUAGUGGGUUUAUUGUACUGUACAGUAUUUCAUUUAGUGUAUUUUUUAUUCUUAUAUAUUAUAAAGGUGGUUCACUGGAGCUUCAUGAGAACUGUAGUAAUAUUGUUAAUGUUAUAACAUUGUUGAUCUUUAUAUUUUGAAUGACUCUUCAAAGCUAUGUCUUAGAAUCAGUUCUGAAAUUCUGAGAAAAAGCACACAAUAUGAAAGAAAGGUGUCGGAUUAGAUGAUGAAGCUCUUAAAUUUUCUAGCUACUGUACUUUGUUAUACAGUAUGUGUAAAUAAGCAAGAAAAUAUUUUUUUCAAUUAAUGGAUUAGAUAAACAAACUUAGUUCAGUAUGGAAGUGUCUUCCAGAAACUACAGUACUAAGAAAGUCUCAUUGUUAGAUUUUUCUUUUUAGAAUCUUUGUUAAGCAUUAAUACAUUGGUUUAAAUAAUUUAAUAUUCUUACUUUAAAUUAAAAUAUAAUUUUCCUAAAA